rnacentral:lncRNA from 1 species
AACAAAAACCUCUGCAAGACUAUCAAGGACUAAGACAGAAGACUAAGAAACCCUGGUAGGAAACAACAAACAUAUUGCUUAUCACAUUUAUCCUCUUAAAUGGGAAAGACGGAACUAGGAAGCUGGAAAUGAGGUAGAAGGAAAGAGAAAGGACCAGUUGUUUGAUGAUUUGAAAUAAACAUUUUUUAUUAUGAGGAAUAUAGAUUUUUUUAAUUAAGAAAAAGUGCAAUUCAGAAAGAAUGCUAUUGUCCAUCUUGAAGUCUUUAUUGUCUCCCCCACAACUCUUCCCCAGUGUCAACUGCGAAUGGGCAAUCAGGCUGCUGUCCAGGAGAGAGAGGCCCUAGGUGUGUCAUGGAUCCAUUUGGAGAAGCUGAUGAGUCAUCUUGUGAAAGAAAAAAUGAAUUGAAGGACAUUGCUUACUUUCUGUGUUGAUUCAGGCCUCAUUUCAUCUUAACCCCCUAGUUAGAGGACAUCAGUAAUGAUUCAGUCUCUGCAACUCAUUCCUAAAUAAAAUUAAUUGGAAAGU